rnacentral:rRNA from 1 species
CACGUAGUUAGCCGUGGCUUAUUCGACAGGUACCGUCUUCUGCUCUUCCCUGUCAAAAGAGGUUUACAACCCGAAAGCCUUCUUCCUUCACGCGGCGUUGCUGGGUCAGGCUUGCGCCCAUUGCCCAAUAUUCCCCACUGCUGCCUCCCGUAGGAGUCUGGGCCGUAUCUCAGUCCCAAUGUGGCCGGCCAACCUCUCAGUCCGGCUACUGAUCGUCGCCUUGGUAGGCCGUUACCCUACCAACUAGCUAAUCAGACGCGAGGCCAUCUCUCAGCGAUAAAUCUUUGGUACCAGUACCAUGCGAUACCCGUACGUUAUGCGGUAUUAGCAGUCGUUUCCAACUGUUGUCCCCCUCUGAAAGGCAGGUUCCUCACGCGUUACUCACCCGUCCGCCACUAAGUAGUCCUCUCCAUUGACCGAAAUCUCUUUCGAGGGUACUCCGUUCGACUUGCAUGUGUUAAGCACGCCGCCAGCGUUCGUCCUGAGCCAGGAUCAAACUCU